GACAGAGGUCCCAAGCGUUAGGCGGAAUCACUGGGCUUAAAGCGUGUGUAGGCGGAUGCCUAAGUACCUUGUGAAAUCCCACGGCUCACCCGUGGAACUGCUUGGUAUACUGGGUGUCUUGAGCCACUUAGGGGCUACCGGAACAAAUGGUGGAGCGGUGAAAUGCGUAGAUAUCGGAAGGAACGCCGGUGGCGAAAGCGGUCCGCUGGGUCCCCACUGACGCUGAGGCGCGAAAGCCAGGGGAGCAAACGGG
rnacentral:rRNA from 1 species